rnacentral:lncRNA from 1 species
GGAUGAGCGGUCUGGGUUGUCUGGAUCCUGAGCAGCAUAUGUUAAAAUCAAGAUUCUUUAUUUACCCAUUCUGAUAGCUCCUAGUGGCUGCUCGCAUCCUGUGGUUGGUGGUCAUCUUCCUCCAUCUUCAAAAAUGACGUUCUGCCUCGUGUUUCCACCGAAACCAUCGUGUGCCCAUAGUAACCAGCAGACACCAUGCAUGUGUGAUCUCCUUUAUGACCUGCGCCUAAUUAGCUUUUUAUUGUCAUCUUCCAACUCCCGCUUAAACUGUACAAACGGGCAGCAUGACUCCCGAUACCGAUUAAUAAGCUUCUAGCCCUGGUCCUGCAAUAAAGAGGAUGUAUUUACAGCAUGA